rnacentral:rRNA from 1 species
UGGGGAAUCUUCCGCAAUGGGACGAAAGUCUGACGGAGCAACGCCGCGUGUAUGAUGAAGGUCUUCGGAUUGUAAAGUACUGUCAUUGGGGAAGAACGGUUUUCUUGAAAAGAUUGAGAAGACAUGACGGUACCCAAGGAGGAAGCCCCGGCUAACUACGUGCCAGCAGCCGCGGUAAUACGUAGGGGGCAAGCGUUGUCCGGAAUUAUUGGGCGUAAAGGGCGCGUAGGCGGGCCUUUAAGUCCGGUGUGAAAGAUCAGGCUCAACCCUGAGAGUGCAUCGGAAACUGAAAGCCUUGAGGACAGGAGAGGAAAGUGGAAUUCCACGUGCAGCGGUGAAAUGCGUAGAUAUGUGGAGGAACACCAGUGGCGAAGGCGACUUUCUGGACUGUAACUGACGCUGAGGCGCGAAAAGCGUGGGGAGCAAACAGGAUUAGAUACCCUGGUAGUCCACGCCGUAAACGAUGAGUGCUAGGUGUAAGAGGGUAUCGACCCCUUCUGUGCGCAGUUAACACAAUAAGGCACUCCGCCUGGGGAGUACGGCNCAAGGUUGAAACUCAAAAUGAAUUGACGGGGGUCAUAGCUG